rnacentral:rRNA from 1 species
GAUGAACGCUAGCGGCAGGCCUAAUACAUGCAAGUCGAACGGUGUCCUCGGACAUAGUGGCGCACGGGUGCGUAACACGUAUGCAACCUACCUUACAUUGGGGGAUAGCCUUUCGAAAGGGAGACUAAUACCGCAUAAGACGGUAGCUGGGCAUCCAGCAGCUGUUAAAGAUUUAUCGAUGUAAGCUGGGCAUGCGUCCAAUUAGCUAGUUGGUGAGGUAACGGCUCACCAAGGCAAUGAUUGGUAGGGGAACUGAGAGGUCAAUCCCCCACCCGGGCACUGAGAUACGGGCCGGACUCCUACGGGAGGCAGCAGUAGGGAAUAUUGGGCAGUGGACGAAAGUCUGACCCAGCCAUGCCGCGUGCAGGAUGAAGGCGUUAUGCGUUGUAAACUGCUUUUAUACAGGAAGAAACGACUCUUGCGAGAGGCAUUGACGGUACUGUAUGAAUAAGCACCGGCUAACUCCGUGCCAGCAGCCGCAGUAAGAC